rnacentral:tRNA from 1 species
GCCUGGCUGGCUCAGUUGGUUGAGCGUCCCACUUGAGCUCAGAUCAUGAUCUCACGGGGUGUGAGUUCGAGCCCCGCGUCGGGCA